AUUUUGAGUCUGGGUUCUAGAUGUAAAAUUUUGAUUUCUUCCACGUAACUGAUAAAAGAAAAAAUAGUGCAUUAGAGAAAGUUUG